UAGGGGUAAGCUUUGAGGGAAGUGUUUAAUUUUUGCUUAAAUGAGAUAAUUUAUUUAUACCUUUAA
rnacentral:tRNA from 1 species